AUUGAACGCUGGCGGCAGGCCUAACACAUGCAAGUCGAACGGUAACAGAAAGCAGCUUGCUGCUUUGCUGACGAGUGGCGGACGGGUGAGAAUGUCUUGGAAACUGCCUGAUGGAGGGGGAUAACUACUGGAAACGGUAGCUAAUACCGCAUAACGUCGCAAGACCAAAGAGGGGGACCUUCGGGCCUCUUGCCAUCGGAUGUGCCCAGAUGGGAUUAGCUUGUUGGUGGGGUAACGGCUCACCAAGGCGACGAUCCCUAGCUGGUCUGAGAGGAUGACCAGCCACACUGGAACUGAGACACGGUCCAGACUCCUACGGGAGGCAGCAGUGGGGAAUAUUGCACAAUGGGCGCAAGCCUGAUGCAGCCAUGCCGCGUGUAUGAAGAAGGCCUUCGGGUUGUAAAGUACUUUCAGCGGGGAGGAAGGGAGUAAAGUUAAUACCUUUGCUCAUUGACGUUACCCGCAGAAGAAGCACCGGCUAACUCCGUG
rnacentral:rRNA from 1 species